CGAUUAGUGGUGGAGAUAUUUUAGGACCAAUGGGGACCUCCGUGUACCACAAAUCGGGUUUGACAAAGGCUCGAGUUAAAACACUUGUCCCGAAAAGAAUCGCCGUAGUUUAUACUGGCGUGGAUGAGCGGUGCUGGAGGAUUAGCACCGACUACUACGUCAGCAGGCGCGGUAUUCGUAGGGUGCGAGGCGAUCAUCGGAAUACUGGCGUAAGCGUGCGCAGGGCGGUUUUGUAAGACAGGCGUGAAUCCCAGGCUUAACCUGGAAUUGCGCCUGUGACUGCAAGGCUAGAGUGCGUCAGAGGGGGGUAGAAUUCACGUGUAGCAGUGAAAUUGCGGUAGGAGAUGUGGAGGAAUACCGAUGGCGAAGGCAGCCCCCGGGACGUGACUGACGCUCAUGCACGAAAGCGUGGGGAGCAAACAGGAUUAGAUACCUGGUAGUACACGCCCUAAACGAUGUCAACUAGUUGUUGGGGAUUCAUUUUCUCAGUAACGUAGCUAACGCGUGAAGUUGACCGCCUGGGGAGUACGGUCGCAAGAUUAAAACUCAAAGGAAUUGACGGGGACCCGCACAAGCGGUGGAUGAUGUGGAUUAAUUCGAUGCAACGCGAAAAACCUUACCUACCCUUGACAUGCCACUAACGAAGCAGAGAUGCAUUAGGUGCCCGAAAGGUAAAGUGGACACAGGUGCUGCAUGGCUGUCGUCAGCUCGUGUCGUGAGAUGUUGGGUUAAGUCCCGCAACGAGCGCAACCCUUGUCUCUAGUUGCUACGCAAGAGCACUCUAGAGAGACUGCCGGUGACAAACCGGAGGAAGGUGGGGAUGACGUCAAGUCCUCAUGGCCCUUAUGGGUAGGGCUCCACACGUCAUACAAUGGUGCGUACAGAGGGUUGCCAACCCGCGAGGGGGAGCUAAUCCCAGAAAACGCAUCGUAGUCCGGAUCGUAGUCUGCAACUCGACUACGUGAAGCUGGAAUCGCUAGUAAUCGCGGAUCAGCAUGCUGCGGUGAAUACGUUCCCGGGUCUUGUACACACCGCCCGUCACACCAUGGGAGUGGGUUUUGCCAGAAGUAGUUAGCCUAACCGCAAGGAGGGCGAUUACCACGGCAGGGUUCAUGACUGGGGUGAAGUCGUAACAAGG
rnacentral:rRNA from 1 species